AACGCACAUUGCGCCCCUUGGUAUUCCAUGGGGCAUGCCUGUUCGAGCGUCAUUUGUACCUUCAAGCCUUGCUUGGUGUUGGGUGUUUGUCUCGCCUCUGCGCGUAGACUCGCCUCAAAACAAUUGGCAGCCGGCGUAUUGAUUUCGGAGCGCAGUACAUCUCGCGCUUUGCACUCAGAACGACGACGUCCAAAAGUACAUUUUUACACUCUUGACCUCGGAUCAGGUAGGGAUACCCGCUGAACUUAA
rnacentral:misc_RNA from 1 species